GAUGAACGCUGGCGGCGUGCUUAACACAUGCAAGUCGAACGGAAAGGCCUCAGCUUGCUGGGGUACUCGAGUGGCGAACGGGGGAGUAACACGUGGGUGAUCUGCCCUGCACUUUGGGAUAAGCUUGGGAAACUGGGUCUAAUACCGAAUAUGACCACUUCUCGGAUGUUGUGGUGGAAAGCUUUUGCGGUGUGGGAUGAGCCUGCGGCCUAUCAGCUUGUUGGUGGGGUAAUGGCCUACCAAGGCGGCGACGGGUAUCCGGCCUGAGAGGGUGUACGGACACAUUGGGACUGAGAUACGGCCCAGACUCCUACGGGAGGCAGCAGUGGGGAAUAUUGCACAAUGGGCGCAAGCCUGAUGCAGCGACGCCGCGUGGGGGAUGAAGGCCUUCGGGUUGUAAACUCCUUUCGCUAUCGACGAGGCCACUUGUGGUGACGGUAGGUAGAUAAGAAGCACCGGCUAACUACGUGCCAGCAGCCGCCGUAA
rnacentral:rRNA from 1 species